rnacentral:rRNA from 1 species
ACGGAGGGUGCAAGCGUUGUCCGGAUUUAUUGGGUUUAAAGGGUGCGUAGGCGGCGUAAUAAGUCAGUGGUGAAAGCCGGCAGCUCAACUGUCGAGGUGCCAUUGAUACUGUUAUGCUUGAGUACAGACGAGGUAGGCGGAAUUUAUGAUGUAGCGGUGAAAUGCAUAGAUAUCAUAAAGAACACCUAUAGCGAAGGCAGCUUACUAGGCUGUAACUGACGCUGAGGCACGAAAGCGUGGGGAGCGAACAGG